rnacentral:rRNA from 1 species
AAUGAACGUUGGCGGCGUGGAUUAGGCAUGCAAGUCGAGGGAGAACCCGCAAGGGGGACACCGGCGAACGGGGUAGGAUCACGUAGGUGACGUACCCCCAGGGCGAGGAUAGCCACGGGAAACUGUGGGUAAUACUCGAUAACCUUCCCGAUCAUAAUCGAAUGGGAAGCAAUGGGUGUGAUUCCACCUGGGGAGCGGCUUACGCAGUAUCAGCUAGUUGGUGAGGUAACGGCUCACCAAGGCUUUGACGCUUAGGGGGUGUGAGAGCAUGGCCCCCACCACUGGCACUGAGACACUGGCCAGACACCUACGGGUGGCUGCAGUCGAGAAUCUUCGGCAAUGGACGAAAGUCUGACCGAGCGACGCCGCGUGCAGGAUGAAGGUCUUCGGAUUGUAAACCGCUGUCAGAGGGGAUGAAGUAUACGAAAGCUAUCUUUCGUAUUUGACAGAGCCUCAGAGGAAGCACGGGCUAAGUUCGUG